ensembl:misc_RNA
UCGUACGCUGGGCUAUAAUCUAUGAAACUGAGCCCCAGAUCCAACCAAUCACUUAGCUCCUCAUAACAAGUCUAACUGGCUCUGGAAAGCUGAAAGGGCUGUGCUGGAAAAACAUAGAUGAGAUAUUCCACACAUUAAUCUGCUUAUCUGGAAUCACUCUGCCUCAAAAGGCCAGAGGAAAAAAAAAAUCACAGCUUCAUUGUCUGGGGGGAAAAGGACAGGUGAUCUGGGAAAAUCACAGCUACAACUGGAGCAA